GUCCCAUGUUUUUAUGCUUAGAUCAAAGUUGUUGACUCAUGUGAUGACUCAAUAGAUGAUAUUCUUAUUUCUUUCGAGACUAAGCACCGUAGGAAACUGCUUUAUAGUAUCUCUUUUUUAUUGAAGAGCAAAUUCAAGGGGAAUUGAGAAGGAAAU